GCAUAAUGUAGCCAACGGCCACGCCGUGCCGCUGGGCUCCACUUUCACCACAAUACAAAGGAAGCCCAGCUGGCCUGUUGGGCACAACGAAGCCUCCCCCAACUCGCUCCCAGCCAGCCGGCCCGGGACUCCCCUCUUUGCCUCCCCUCAGUCCGUCCUUACCUCUCUUGCAGGAGGGCAAAAGCUGCGAGUCGUCGGGUGAGUUAGCAGCAAAACGCAUUCUUCUGGAGGCAAAUCCGUACGGGGCCCUCCAUUAGACACGGGCUCAAAGUGCGAGACGACUGGAGGAACAUGAAAACAGCCGGAGGUGAAGGGGAAGAAGAGUUUUCAGACCCUCAGAGCAGCGCAGGCUUCGGGGCCAAGGUGCGACAACUCCCCCUGGUCUACACUCGAGUUGAGUUUCUCUGUCUCCGUCUCUCAGUCUACCGCUGCCUCCUCCACACACGCAUCUUUGAAGCUAGUGUCGAAUUGCUCAGCAAAUCACGGCAGCAGCGAGGCUGGUCGUCAAACCAAGAAUGUCCCUGCCCCACAGCUCAAUGCAGCUCCUGCAGAGGGGAGGGAGAGAGGGAGGAGGGGGUGUUACCCAUAUAGACUGUGUAUUAACAAGUUUUACAAUCUACUAGGGGGGGGGACUUCCUUCUUCCUCCUCUGCGCACACUCUGUGUCUUAUUGUUACCAGGACAUAAAGGUAAACCCACCUGAACACACUCUUCCCUUUGUUUAAUACUAGGACAAUAAGCACUUUAAUGACGGUCAAUCAGUGCCUCUCUAAACUACAUGACAUCAGUGAAAACUAACCAAAAGCACUAUAGAUGUAUUGUUUUUUGUGAAUCUGGCCAAUGCAAUAAAUAAAUAUUUUACAAGUACAGUAUUCAUUUGCUGAAUGUUUUAGCAGCCAUAAUAAGGAGGAGGGAUAAAAUAACAAGGUUUUAUAAAUGAUCUGCAAAUUAACUGUAUUCGUGUCAUGAAAACUUCUGUCAGACUGACAUGGGUUGACUUGAAUUAAACUGAGUUUAGAUUUUA